rnacentral:sRNA from 12 species
UACGCUCCGCACAGAAUCUCGAUUCUGAACAUGAGGCCCGUCACAGGGAUGACGUAACACCAGCGGCUACAGGACUUAGUCGAUAGCCGCACCCGGUGU